rnacentral:lncRNA from 1 species
GCUGAAGCAUUUCUCCAAGUGAUCCGAAGCUGAAGAAAGGAGCAAGAGAGAGACCCCUCCUUCUCACACAGCUUUUAGACAUGCUAGCGAUCGACUGGACAAACUAUUUUCACAACCUCAAAACAACUUCUUGCUUAGCACUAGUAAUAUUUUACAACAACUACUAGCUAAAUAUAUACCAAAUUAACAAUUCCUUGCUUUCUUGCUUCAACACAAAAUCUCUGUCCGAAAUAUCUUGCUGUGUACAUAAACAAACUCUCUCUCUCUCUAAAGCGUCUUCAUGUUCCGUAUUAGUCUGCGGAGCUCAUAGCUUACCACA